UUUAAAGAUGAUUUCUAUGAGCAAAGCAAGU
rnacentral:piRNA from 1 species